UACAGAGGUCUCAAGCGUUUGUUCGGAUUCAUUGGGCGUAAAGGGUGCGUAGGCGGCGCGGUAAGUCGGGUGUGAAAUCUUGGAGCUUAACUCCGAAACUGCAUUCGAUACUGCCGUGCUUGAGGACUGGAGAGGAGACUGGAAUUUACGGUGUAGCGGUGAAAUGCGUAGAUAUCGUAAGGAAGACCAGUGGCGAAGGCGGGGUCUCUGGACAGUUCCUGACGUGAGGCACGAAGGCCAGGGGAGCAAACGGG
rnacentral:rRNA from 1 species